rnacentral:rRNA from 1 species
GACGAACGCUGGCGGCGUGCUUAACACAUGCAAGUCGAACGGAAAGGCCCUGCUUUUGUGGGGUGCUCGAGUGGCGAACGGGUGAGUAACACGUGAGUAACCUGCCCUUGACUUUGUGAUAACUUCAGGAAACUGGGGCUAAUACCGGAUAGGAUCUCCUGCUGCAUGGUGGGGGUUGGAAAGUUUCGGCGGUUGGGGAUGGACUCGCGGCUUAUCAGCUUGUUUGUGGGGUAGUGGCUUACCAAGGCUUUGACGGGUAGCCGGCCUGAGAGGGUGACCGGCGACAUUGGGACUGAGAUAGGGCCCAGACUCCUACGGGAGGCAGCAGUGGGGAAUAUUGCACAAUGGGCGGAAGCCUGAUGCAGCAACGCCGCGUGCGGGAUGACGGCCUUCGGGUUGUAAACCGCUUUCGCCUGUGACGAAGCGUGAGUGACGGUAAUGGGUAAAGAAGCACCGGCUAACUACGUG